AAGUCGUAACAAGGUUUCCGUAGGUGAACCUGCGGAAGGAUCAUUAACACGUAUCCAACGUUAAACCCCCCCGUGAACCUUCAGAGCGUUCUUGCCGCCCGUGACAAUCAGCAAUCCUGGUAAAUCAAGUGGGAAUAUCCGUUAUUGAUUCAGGACCUCUGCUGUCAUGUGUUAGGGAAACCAUAGCGGCAAUUGAGAGCUUUUAUCGUUAGUUUGGCGUCCUGGCCGGGCGAGUGAAAGUGUCGCUAGACGGUUUCUAGGGUAAGGCUUCGCCAUCGCUGGAGGCUCACCACGUAGCCGGCGGACAAACUACAGGGCUAUAUGCCCCCUAAUGACGACCAAGUUAAAUAGGGCCUCUGUCACAUAGCAAGUGCGCCGUGCCAGAGGAAAAGUACAACUGUUAACAAUGGAUAUCUUGGUUCUC
rnacentral:misc_RNA from 1 species